ACUGGGCGUCUCGGUACAGCGGUGCAACUGCUGUAUCUAGCUAAUAAAAACAAGACAGAAGACUUUUGGCUCAUCAACCUAAAGACGCUGAUUUCAUAAAAGAAUGUCUGACUCAGAAAAGGACCUCGCUACCCCCCAGCUGGCCUCUGACCUGGAGAAGACAGGCUACGUGAUGCUGAAGGACCGUCCCUGCAAGAUCGUGGAGAUAAAUAAAACCUCAGGAGGAAAACAUGGCAGUGGCAAGGUUGUCAUAGUUGGAAUUGACAUCUUCACUGAUCAGAAGUACGAUGAUGUGGUCCCCGGCACCCAUCUCUGUGGCGUUCCGAAUGUCCAUCACAAAGAAUAUACGGUAACGUGAUCAUCUUAA